UGGGUAACCUGCCUCAAAGAGGGGAAUAGCCUCCCGAAAAGGGGAGAUUAAUACCGCAUAAUAUGUUUAGGUCGCAUGACUUUAACAUCAAAGGAUUUUCUUUUAGAAAUUCCACUUUGAGAUGGACCCGCGGCGCAUUAGCUAGUUGGUGAGGUAACGGCUCACCAAGGCAACGAUGCGUAGCCGACCUGAGAGGNNNGUCGCAUGUAGAC
rnacentral:rRNA from 1 species